rnacentral:rRNA from 1 species
UUAGAGUUUGAUCCUGGCUCAGGAUGAACGCUGGCGGCGUGCCUAAUACAUGCAAGUCGAACGGGGAUUACACGGAGAUGCGAUUUCGGUCAAAUCAAGUGCAAUCUUAGUGGCGGACGGGUGAGUAACGCGUGGGUAACCUGCCUUGCACUGGGGGAUAACACUUAGAAAUAGGUGCUAAUACCGCAUAAGCGCACGGUCCUGCAUGGGACAGUGUGAAAAACUCCGGUGGUGCAAGAUGGACCCGCGUCUGAUUAGCUGGUUGGCGGGGUAAAGGCCCACCAAGGCGACGAUCAGUAGCCGGCCUGAGAGGGUGGACGGCCACAUUGGGACUGAGACACGGCCCAAACUCCUACGGGAGGCAGCAGUAGGGAAUCUUCCACAAUGGACGAAAGUCUGAUGGAGCAACGCCGCGUGAGUGAAGAAGGGUUUCGGCUCGUAAAGCUCUGUUGGUAGUGAAGAAAGAUAGAGGUAGUAACUGGCCUUUAUUUGACGGUAAUUACUUAGAAAGUCACGGCUAACUACGUGCCAGCAGCCGCGGUAAUACGUAGGUGGCAAGCGUUGUCCGGAUUUAUUGGGCGUAAAGCGAGUGCAGGCGGUUCAAUAAGUCUGAUGUGAAAGCCUUCGGCUCAACCGGAGAAUUGCAUCAGAAACUGUUGAACUUGAGUGCAGAAGAGGAGAGUGGAACUCCAUGUGUAGCGGUGGAAUGCGUAGAUAUAUGGAAGAACACCAGUGGCGAAGGCGGCUCUCUGGUCUGCAACUGACGCUGAGGCUCGAAAGCAUGGGUAGCGAACAGGAUUAGAUACCCUGGUAGUCCAUGCCGUAAACGAUGAGUGCUAAGUGUUGGGAGGUUUCCGCCUCUCAGUGCUGCAGCGAACGCAUUAAGCACUCCGCCUGGGGAGUACGACCGCAAGGUUGAAACUCAAAGGAAUUGACGGGGGCCCGCACAAGCGGUGGAGCAUGUGGUUUAAUUCGAAGCAACGCGAAGAACCUUACCAGGUCUUGACAUCAGUGCAAACCUAAGAGAUUAGGUGUUCCCUUCGGGGACGCUGAGACAGGUGGUGCAUGGCUGUCGUCAGCUCGUGUCGUGAGAUGUUGGGUUAAGUCCCGCAACGAGCGCAACCCUUGUCAUUAGUUGCCAUCAUUAAGUUGGGCACUCUAAUGAGACUGCCGGUGACAAACCGGAGGAAGGUGGGGAUGACGUCAAGUCAUCAUGCCCCUUAUGACCUGGGCUACACACGUGCUACAAUGGACGGUACAACGAGAAGCGAACCUGCGAAGGCAAGCGGAUCUCUUAAAGCCGUUCUCAGUUCGGACUGUAGGCUGCAACUCGCCUACACGAAGCUGGAAUCGCUAGUAAUCGCGGAUCAGCACGCCGCGGUGAAUACGUUCCCGGGCCUUGCACACACCGCCCGUCA